rnacentral:rRNA from 1 species
UGGGGAAUAUUGCACAAUGGAGGGAACUCUGAUGCAGCGACGCCGCGUGAGUGAUGAAGGAAUUCGUUUCGUAAAACUCUGUUCUAUGGGAAGAAAAGGACUGUACCAUAGGAGAAAGCUCCGGCUAAAUACGUGCCAGCAGCCGCGGUAAUACGGAUGGAGCGAGCGUUGUCCGGAAUUAUUGGGCGUAAAGGGUGCGCAGGCGGCUUUACAAGUUGGAUGUGAAAUAUUGUGGCUCAACCACAAACGUGCAUCCAAAACUGCAAAGCUUGAGUUAAGGAGAGGUAAGUGGAAUUCCUGGUGUAGCGGUGGAAUGCGUAGAUAUCAGGAGGAAUACCGGUGGCGAAGGCGACUUACUGGACUUAAACUGACGCUCAGGCACGAAAGCGUGGGGAGCAAACAGG